CCUUUGGCAAAGGCAAGAGCCAGAACAGAAAAGGAAAAUUAGUAUGUUCAACUUUUGUUAGCAUGUGUUCAACGCAAAGGUUGAAAAUCAAAGUGUAACGUUAAGUAAAUACGUUUGGAUUAAGAAUGUAAGUUAACUUUUUGUACCCACUGAGGACUUUUUGUUUGUUUGUUUGGACUGCAAAGUGAUCAUAAACCUAUGCUUUGACAGAUUUAGAAGCACUUAAAUAUCUAUUUCAGCA